UACAGAGGGUGCGAGCGUUAAUCGGAAUUACUGGGCGUAAAGCGUGCGUAGACGGUUAUGUAAGUCGGGUGUGAAAGCCCCGGGCUCAACCUGGGAAUUGCAUUCGAGACUGCAUAGCUAGGGUGCGGAAGAGGGAAGCGGAAUUUCCGGUGUAGCGGUGAAAUGCGUAGAUAUCGGAAGGAACACCAGUGGCGAAGGCGGCUCACUGGCCCGGUACUGACGCUGAGGCGCGAAAGCGUGGGGAGCAAACAGG
rnacentral:rRNA from 1 species